rnacentral:rRNA from 1 species
UACGUAGGGUGCAAGCGUUAUCCGGAUUUAUUGGGUUUAAAGGGUGCGUAGGCGGAGUGCCAAGUCAGCGGUAAAAAUUCGGGGCUCAACCCCGUCGUGCCGUUGAAACUGGCGCCCUUGAGUGGGCGAGAAGUAUGCGGAACGCGUGGUGUAGCGGUGAAAUGCGUAGAUAUUAGGAGGAACACCAGUGGCGAAGGCGGCUGUCUGGUCUGCAACUGACGCUGAGGCUCGAAAGCAUGGGUAGCGAACAG